UCGAGAAGCUUCGGCAAUGGGCGAAAGCCUGACCGAGCGACGCCGCGUGAGCGAAGAAGGCCCUAUGGGUUGUAAAGCUCUGUCAGAUUGGGAAGAAAGCUCCGGGAUUAAUACCCCCGGAGUGUGACGGUACCAUCAGAGGAAGCACCGGCUAACUCCGUGCCAGCAGCCGCGGUAAUACGGAGGGUGCUAGCGUUGUUCGGAUUCACUGGGUAUAAAGGGUGCGCAGGCGGCCUUGUAAGUCAGAGGUGAAAUAUGUCGGCUCAACCGCAAACUGCCUCUGAGACUGCUAGGCUUGAGUCCGGGAGAGGAAGGUGGAAUUCCUGGUGUAGCGGUGAAAUGCGUAAAUAUCAGGAGGAACACCGGUGGCGAAGGCGGCCUUCUGGCCCGGUACUGACGCUCAUGCACGAAAGCCAGGGGAGCGAACGGGAUUAGAUACCCCGGUAGUCCUGGCCGUAAACGAUGGGCACGUAGGUGUUGGAGGAGUCUACCCCUUCAGUGCCG
rnacentral:rRNA from 1 species